ACAGUUUACUCAAGUUCAACUGUGAAUGGCUGGAAGCGCGACACAGAGACUCAAAGAGGACUGAGGGCUGUGGAAUAAGCACGACCAAAUUGUCGACUGUCCGACGACGCGUGGAGAGCCGAUAGAGAGCAACGACUGACGCCGAUGGUGAAUCAGUUCAGUCGAGAGGAGAGUGGAGGCACAGGUGCGAGAAUCUCGCGGCGAGAUGAGAGAUGUAGCAGAACAUAGAGAUGAGAGAUUG
rnacentral:lncRNA from 1 species